AUGGAAUGUUCUCAGGUGUGGUGGGAGACUCUCAGGCGAGGUGGUUUUCGGUUGAAUGAGGUUUUUCAGCGGAUGCAAAGGUAUCUCUGGCGACGGCUAGCUCAGAUGGUGAGACUUUGCUUGAAGUUUGGAAGGAGCUUAUCAAUUGGAUGCAAUUUGAAGAUGGAGAAAUCUUGGAGGAUUAGAAAUGGACAACAAAUUUGA
rnacentral:lncRNA from 1 species